CUCGUGUACCAAACGAAGCGAAAUUUUGAAAUCACAUUUGACGAGAGACACACAAAAGCUUCUUCUAUGCUCCUCGGGACUAUUCAUGGCGGAAAGGCGCCAAAUUUUCAGCAACCUUCGUGAGAAAUUGGGUUAACCAUGGUGCUGGCUGAUACAAAUAUUGAUUAAUUGUUCAUUGGUAGAGAUUGGAGAAGAACGAUGGAGGAUUGCAUUCUCCCGCAGCUAGUGAACUCAAUUGAGAUUCCGAGGUCAAUUCUUCACGGUACUCCAAAUCAUUUUUUCCUGAGGAAUUUGGCACUGCAGAGGGGAGAAAGGCCACGAGAUAGAAGACAUCUUCAUUUGGAGUUAUCAAAGAUGUAUGUUUGAUCCACCUGCAACCAAAAACAUGUUGGAGAUGGAGAUUCAGCCAGGGAUGUGGAACCUCCCAUAAACCCUUUGCUCUCAGUUUUCUCUCCGCAAUAUGCACUCGAUCCAGAAACUCAAUGUAUGGCACUUCAGAUGAAAACAAAGUGGACCGAAUGUAAUUCAACUCUGAAAGUAACUUGCUAGUUUCCUGCAGGGCAACCAUUCGUUAUGUUAGCAACCAACGGUUGAUCUAGAGCUUUCUGUAGAAACUAAAUUUCAUUAUAUAUUGCUUUCAUAUCUUACCUGAUUCAUUGAGCUAGCUUCUUCUGGGUUGAAAUAUUUGACCACUUCUAGGCAAUACAGAGUUUUCCCAUCUGACUUGAAUUUGCUAGCCUG